rnacentral:lncRNA from 1 species
UUGUUUUGUUUAGAUAAUGUUAUCUUUUAUUCAGACGCGUUUGAUACAUUUGUAAAAAGUUAAAACAAAAAGUUACAACAUUUAACGAUACUUACCAUUUACUGAGAGGAUGUACCAAAGAUAUUCCAAUGGAUGAUUCAAAUAAAUUCUUACCUGGUUUUUAUAAUUUCGUACCUCGUAUUCCUCAGCAUUUUCUGUGAUUUUCCACCUUAAACAUCCUUCAAUGACAUUUGUUUUUAAACAUAUUUCUUUAUCCUUUCGGGGUCGAUAAAUCAAGUACCAGUUACGCACUGGGAUCGAUGUAAUCAACUUAAUCUCUUUGUCUGUCCUUGUUUGUCCCCUCUAUGUUUAGCCCCUUGUGGGCAAUAAAGAAAUAAGGGACAUACUUCUUUAUGUGUAGAUUAACGUGUCACCCUUUGCUUCUUUUAGUUAUUAGACUUUGGUCAUGCUGGAGCAUCUCCUUGUGGUGUUAAGUCAAACAGAUCAACAUCAGCACUUACUAGUUUAUCGGUCGCUUUUGUUGAAACGCUAAUUUUACGGGGACGUAAACAUACAAACAAUGGUUGUCGAGCUACGAGGUGGGGACACGCACAAGCACCAAGGGGCACACUCAUAGACAAAUAUUUAUACAUAUACGACUUCCAUACAGUUUCUUAUUUCUUUAUUACCCACAAGGGGCUAAACAUAGAGGGGACAAACAGUGACAGACAAACGGAUUAAGUCGAUUACAUCGACCCCAGUGCAUAACUGGUACUUAAUUUAUCGACACCGAAAGGCUGAAAGGCAAAGUCGACCUCGGCGGAAUUCGAACUCAGAACUCAGGCUUCCAUACAGUUUCUGUCUACCAAAUUAACUCACAAGGCAUUGAUCAUCUUAGGGCCAUCGAAAGCAUUUGUCAAAGAUGCUGUUCGAUGGGUUCGAACUCGAAUCAACGUGUUUGCGAAACGAGUUUCUCAACCGCAUUGACAUGCCUGCGCUUACCAGUGUUAAUCAAAGACAUAUACAUACCUAUACUCUUUUACUUGUUUCAGUCAUUUGACUGCGGCCAUGCUGGAGCACCACCUUUAGUCGAGCAAAUCGACCCCAAAACUUAUUCUUUGUAAGCUUAGUACUUAAUCUAUCGGUCUCUUUUGCCGAACCACAGCUAAGUUACGGGGAGGUAAACACACCAGCAUCGGUUGUCAUGCGAUGUUGGGGGACAAACAAAGACACACAAACACACAUAUAUAAAUGUAUAUAUAUAUAUAUAUAUAUAUAUAUAUAUAUAUAUAUAUAUAUAUAUAUAUAUAUAUAUAUAUAUAUAUAUAUAUAUAUAUAUAUAUAUAUAUAUACAUAUAUACGAUGGGCUUCUUUCAGUUUCCAUCUACCAAAUCCACUCACAAGGCUUUGGUCGGUCCGAGGCUAUAGUAGAAGACACUUGCCCAAGUUGCCACGCAGUGGGACUGAACCCGGAACCACGUGGUUCGUAAGCAAGCUACUUACCGCUCAGCCACUCUAUUUGUCUCUCUCUCUCUACGAAUAUAUACACAGCACAUCUCUACAUACCUUCACACUAUACUAUAGUAACUUCGAGCCAAUGAAACAGCAGUUAUAUCUCCCUCAUGUCACACGUUAGCGUGUUAAAAAGUAAUGGACGCAUUAGACGAUGCAACCCUAGAUUUUACAAUGUCUGAAAAUAAGAUGGUAUGGUCACUGUGAGACCAUCUUUGAUAAUAGAUCUGUUCAGGGCUGAACUGGGACUAAAUGACAAUUAUGAUGACAUCAUCAGUGACGUCAGCGACAACGAUAAUAUAUUCCCUUCCUCCAUUAAUACAAGAUUCCAUCUCGGUGUAACGAAGUACCAGAUUUAGAGCCAUGAUGUUCUUUGGAAAUUAGUCUGACUCUAUAACGUUUCGGUCAUCUUCAACUCUUUGAAAGAUGAAGAAUUUGUUACAGAGGUACGAAACCUGAAAAUAGUUGUUGUGAUGUUCUUGGUUUUGCAAACACUUUAGCGACUCAGAUGAAGAUAAGGAAGAUUCGAAACAAGAAUCGAAGCCAAGUUCCUUUCUAUAACAGUCGUAACUUCGUAGGAAAACAAGAUGACAGAGUGGACAGACAUGUAACGGAAUGAAACUAAUGAUUUAUCAAAAGUAUCAUUAUUAUUUUUUAGAGGGAGAGAGAGAAAAACAGAGAGAGAGACAGUGAGAGAGAGAGAGAGGGAAAGAAACAGAGAUAGUGAGAGAGAGAAAGAGAGAGAAACAGAGAGACAGUGUGAGAGAGAAAGAGAAAUAGAGAGACAGUGAGAGAGGGAGAGAAACAGAGAGACAGUGAGAGAGAGUGAGAGAGAGUGAGAAAGAGGGAAAAACAGAGAGAUAGUGAGAGAGAGAGAGAGAAACAGAGACAGUGAGAGAGAGAAAGAGAGAGAAAGAGAGGCAGUGAGAGAGAGAAACAGAGAGACAGUGAGAGAGAGAGAAACUGAGAGACAGUGAGAGAGAGAAAGAGAAAGAAACAGAGAGACAGUGAGAGAGAUAGAGAGAAAUAGAGACAGGUUAGUUUCAGAAUUAAUAGAACUGUGGGCUUUACCCUAUUUAGUUGUGCCGUUUUACAAUCAGAGUUCAAUACUUACCGAUACCCACUUUACCUUUUAUCUUUCUGGGGUGGAUAAUAUAAAGAAAGAGUCAAAUACUGCGUCCUUGAAAUCAAAUACCCCAUCACCUCAAAAAUUCCAGGCCUUGUACCUAAAUUGUACCCAAAUUGUACCCUUGUACCCGUUAAGGAAGACUUUGUCUUUAACCCCACCGGGUUGGACACCAUCGCCUUCCAUAAGGAAGGCGAUGGUGUCAGCUAAUCCACCUCCACUGAAGAGUUAACCCCUCACCAACAUCAGAAACAGAUGGCGAAUUUUUACGUUCUGAGUUCAAAUUCUGCUUAGGUCGACCUUGCCUUUCAUCCUUUGGGGUUGAUAGAAUAAGUACCAGUUAGGUACUGGAAUCAAUGUAAUUGGCUAGUCCCAUCCUCUCUCGAAAAUUUCAGGCUUUGUGCCUAUUGUAGAAAGGACUACUACUACUACUACUACUACUACAAAUAAUAAUAAUGCUGCUGCUGCUGCUGCUACCACUUGUAUUAUCAUUGUUGUGUUUUUCUUUUUUUUUCUUUAUUGCCCACAAGGGGUACAAACAAGGACAAAGGGAGUAAGUCGAUUACAUCGACCCCAGUGCAUAACUGGUACUUUAUUUAUCGACCCCGAAAGGAUGAAAGGCAAAGUCGACCUCGGCGGAAUUUGAACUCAGAUCGUAACGACAUACGAAAUACCACUAAGCAUUUCGCCCGGUGCGCUAACGAUUCUGCUAGCACGCCGCCUUUGCUGUGUUUUUAUUUAUCUGGAUGUGCUUCUGCUUGCUUCAUGGAUUCUGGAUUAACUGCCAAACACCCGAAGAAAAAGCAUUUGUUGACGACCUCUUUCAGAGAAUCAGUAUCGAAUACUUCAGGCGUUUUUCCAUACAAAGAAACAUAAUAUGGUUUGUCAGUUUUGGACAUUUUUGAACAAAAUAUUUUUUUACACUUUCAACUUUAGAUGGCUGCUUGCAACAGCAGCAGCAGCAGCAGCAGCAGUAGCAGCAGCAGCAGUAGCAGCAGCAGCAGUAGCAGCAGCAGCAGUAGCAGCAGCAGCAGUAGCAGCAGCAGGGAAACCAAAACAAGGAGAAACAAAUUAAAUUGCGCACAACAGGACGUACACACUUCACAUGAAAAAAAAUGAUUACAAAUAAUAUUAAUUCGAAAAAUUCGAACGAUGCUGUUAGCAACGGCAAUACGCGUACACACACAUUUAAACAAAUGAAGAAAAGGAAAUCUCAGUUGAGAGUCAAAGAUGGAUAUAUCAGUUUUCCUUUCGUUAGCGCCACAACUGUCAGAGAGAGAGACGAUGACUAUGAAUUACCUGGGUGUGAAAAAACUGUACUUAGCAGAGUCAUGUGAUUAGGGAAGGCGAGUCGCAAUUUGGGGCUUUUAUUUAAGAACGGGAGAGAAGAGAUAUCACGUGUUUGUGUAUCAGCAAGAACGGAAUAAGUUUUCUUUUGACUUCAAGUGAACAAUUUGUGAUAGCUCUGACAUGCAUGGAGCGACAUCUCCUCUUUAGAUCGAGGAUAGUGCAUAGAGGACUCUAGGUCUAAGCUGUGAACUCGGCGAGAAAGUAGAUUAAGCUGGUGCAUCAUACAGUGACUUAUAAGCUAGCAGCAUAAUAUAUAGGACUUCGCAAUACGAAGGUAGCGUUGAAAGGUGUUGGCAAUGACGUUGGUUCCUGGAUCGUUGCGACUUCUGAUGCACAGAACGGAGCAGGUGACGAAUGCCGAGGUAACUAAGGAUGGUAUAAAGUCGGUGGGGGUCUCAAUCCGUAUGUAAGUCCUGACUAUCCUGAAGACAACAGAGGUAUUUUAGAUAUGUGGGUGUAAGGUUGGGGAUCGAAACCAAAGUAAAAGUUUGAGGAAAUAAAAUUCGAAAUUAUCUAUAGAACUCUAUAUAUUAAUGUUUGAUAUUGGUACAAGGGCGGCGAGUCAUAGCAAAAAAUUAGUCGAUUCCACAAAUACUCAUUUAUUUCUUAAUGUUAAUUUAUUGAUUUGAGGAGAGGUUGUGUUUCAAACACUGAUUUAUAGACAUGCAUCAGAAUCAUUGCUCACUGUAUUGCCGGCAUGCUAUAUUAAAUUAAUUUUGAUUUAAAUUUAAAGGUUAUCUUCCUUUCCUUUCUCGACCAGAAUUAAUCAUCGAAGUAAAAACACUGAUAAUUAAAAGUUUUUGGCUCACUAUAGUAUCUCAGAACCGACUUUAGUGAUUACUGCAAAGCAGAGACGAAACGGCUGAGGAGAUAAGGUAUUGGAUUAAUGACUCGAGGCACAAAAGGUCAAACUACAACUGCAUCGUAGUCUAAGACUGAAAUCAAUUGCCUAACUUUUGAGUUACAAGCUCUACCAAAUAACCUGAGGAAUGUUAUUUGGUACUUAGCCCGGUAUUAUCUGGUCUUAUGCAAUUUCAACAGCAUGGAACUAUAAACAUAUAUCAGGCAUUUUCUCCACUGCUGUGUCUGCUAUUCCAUUGCGUUACAUAAGCUCUAAGAUGUUCAUUUAUUUCGUUAUUGCAUUUCUUUUCUGCUCAACAGAAUAAUAUUGACUUCUGUAACGUUUCUUGUGUUUUUCUUUUUCUGCUUUGCCUUUCUCACAUUCAUCAUCGGUUGAUUCAGCAUCUGCAACAAGCGUCUUCAAAUAGAAUUUCUAUUUAAAUAUAUCACUAUACUAUAUAAAUCAUCAAGUCUAAAGUAAUAACUCACUCACCUCAUUCUUCUUCCUCCCACUAAUCCUCUCUCUCCCCUCCAUUUCUUUCGCUUUCUCUCCUAUGCACAGACAUGACAAACUCACAUACAUUACUGCAUUGUUACUUUACAAGGCAGUCAUCUUUAUUACAUAAAUGUGAUGUAAAAAAAUCGAUGAAACAAUGUAUCAUCUAAUUUUGAAUAAUUGCUGGGAAAAUAAACGGAUUAGUAAUGUCUUCUUUUUUUGGGAGACAAUUCAUAUUAGUUUUAGUCUCACCUAAACAAGCUGGAAUCUUUUCCAAGCCAUUUCCGUUCAAAGAUUUCCAUUGAGAGAAUUGCUCUCCACACGUUGUGGUAGUUAAAUAGAAGAAAUUUCAUAUCUUUUCCUUUUCUAUUGCGGUGGUAUGCAAAUAACAAGAGCGCUGUCAGCUCUGUUUUGUGUAUAACAUCUAUGAGUAAAAAAUACUGAACUAGUAUCCGCUUGGGAAUGUUUGCGUGCGAUGAAAAAUUAAAUUUUCUGCAAAGCAAGAAUAAUAGCAGUUCAAAAUAUAUGCCAGCCACUAUACAAUAUUCUGCAUUUACUUUACCUACUAUACCAAAUAUGAUGAGAGCAAUACUUAACUAAAGAGAUCGUAAUAAUACUGAAACUUCAUUGAAGUUGUCUCCCUUACUUGCUAAAAAUGAUCGAAUUCAUAUCGUUUUUACGUCACCGAAUAAUGAUUUCUAGUUAGCUUGUUAACACUCCAUGCAUUAAAUGGAGUACAAUUAACUUAUCUAAAUUAGGAUAACAUUUAAUUAAUCCACUCAUGACAACUUCGUUUACUUGAUAUUUUCUAUUUAUACUUAAAUGAUUGAUUUUUGCUUGUAAACAAUGGCAGAGUGUAUUCAAUCAAUGGUACCUAUUUAUCGAUCGCAGUGGAAUGAAAAACGGCAACCACUUUGAUAACAUGGCGAAACUAGACGUUGCAAAGCUUUUAGUUGGACGUCCUGCCCAAUACUGCCAACUCAUCCAUCACGUUACUAGCUCAACAUUUCAUUUCAUAAAUAACUAUUAGACAGGACAAAACAGAACAACAUAGUUAAUUAGAUUCGGCCUGAAAUAGAAAUCUUCAUCGGUUCACUGGUAGUUUACGUUUUAGCUAUUAGCAACCUAACAAUGAUCGCCGCAGCUAAAAUUAGCUGGCUCAGUGUGUGUGUUUUUUGAAUGGCGUAGCGUUGAACUGUUGACAUAGCGUAAGUACGGACGCUCACCAAGUUUUAACUCAAACAGGAAUACAGUAAUCUCUCGACUAUCGCGUGGCUUACGUUCCAAAACCUACCGCGAUAGGUGAAAAUCCGCGAAGUAGAGACAGUACUGUAUUGAAUGUUUUUAAAAUUAUUUUUAUAAUUUGUAUGUAUCUAUUUUAUUAUAAAUGCAAAACACCACCACAGUGGAAUCGAUGUAAGCUUAAAUAAUAAACUGAGAUAGGUGAACCGCGAUAGAGGAACCGCGAUAGGUGAACCGCGAUAGGUGAACCGCGAUAUGACGAAGGAUUACUGUAGCCGUGUAGGUAACACGUUUGUUUUGCAUGUAAAUGGUUUCGGAUUCAAUUGCAAAGCUCGGAAACGAGUCUGCUAACGAGUGGAAUUUCGUAGUUGGAAAUAUGUGAAAGCUCGUCAGAGGGACCAUGCCCGUUUUGGUUGCAGACUUAAUCAAUUGCUUUGAUUAACAAGAACGAAUGACAUUUGGCAGCCUUUAGAGUACCUAUUUUGUAGCUAAUAUUCAGGACAGAUCUUCACUUCAGUGUAAUUGUCUCCCUUUCCACUAUCAAACUUAAAGUACCCGGAUCGAAGAACAACGUAUAUCAAAUUACAAGGCUGAGAUCAAAUACUGUAACAUAAGAAUUAGAGAUUAAAUCUAAAUAAGGAAAAUUCAGAUUUCUUUCCAUUCGAAUGUGUCAGACCAUCGUAGUAUCCCUUUUGUAUUUUUUAGAUCACCUUUGUAAGAAAUGGCAUGAGAGAAGGAAUAUAUAUAUAAUAUAUAUAUAUAUAUAUAUAUAUAUAUGUUUCCCAACCGCAUGGUUCCUGGUUCAGUAUGUAUGUAUGUAUGUAUGUAUGUAUGUAUGUAUGUAUGUAUGUAUGUAUGUAUGUAUGUAUGUAUGUAUGUAUGUGUGUGUGUGUAUGUGUGUGUGUAUGUAUGUAUGUGUGUGUGUGUGUGUGUGUACCUUUAUGUCGGUGUUUGUCUCCUUCACCGCUUGGCGACUGGUGUUGAUAUCCUUAUGUUCCCGAAACUUCGGUAAAAGAGGGCAACAGUAUAAAUAACGGAAUCAAAAAAUAAGUAUUUCAAAGCGAUGCCCCAGCAUGUACUGACUGUGACAAGUAAAGAAGUAAAAGAUAAAAGAAAUAUAUAUAUAUAUAUAUAUAUAUAUAUAUAUAUAUAUAUAUAUAUAUAUAUAUAUAUAUAUAUAUAUAUAUAUAUAAAUAUAUGUUAUAUAUAUAUUCUCUCUAACACGCACAACGAGUCAAUGAAUAAAAAUGUCGAAACCGAAAAUGGCGGCGUAUGGAGUUUUCCGCUUUUACUUAAUUAUUUAUGUCGCUUAUAAGUCUUUCCCACUAAACAAAUGUCUAUGAAUGUUAUGGACGACCUAAACUAAUAUCAGAUCAUGUAUAAAGACAGUUGAACACAAUAGUUAUAUGAUAUUGUAAUAUUGCAAUAGAAGCUGUGUUCACAUAGCACUUGUCGGAACACAGUGGAAACUUACUGUGUCAAACAUCUAUCUAUCUAUCU